rnacentral:sRNA from 1 species
UAUGAACUUCUACAACAUCUUCAUUUUCGCCGUUCUCUCAAUUGCCGCCGUUUCUGGACAUCGUUGCCGUGGUGGAAACAACUACGGAGGAGGUGGCCGUGGAAUUGUCAUUGGAACCGCCAAGGAAUAAUUUGAAUGAUUUGUUGACCUUGUGUUAAUGAUAAAAUUGUGAGCAUUUCAAAUCUUUUCUAUAUUAACUUGUUGAAUUGGCAUUCUAAGCGUUCCAUGCAGGAACCAAAACACCUGCUUGGCCUCAAGGAAAACGCUGCAUGGUUUGGGCCUAAAUCCUCAAUUCCUAUUUUAUUCUUUGAUCAAAAUUAGAAAAUUAGAAUUUCGUAAACUCACCCAAAAAUUGAGAAAGGAGGCGAAAAACAGGAAUGGUUUCUAUUAUCAAAGCCCUAGGGUAUUAAAAUAGUUUCUCAGGGCGAUUGGCUUUUAGUAUAAUUUAUAAUUUUAAAAGAGUUUGGUAUAUGUAUAAUUCAUUUACUUAUUUACAUUCAUAUUGCUAGCUAGAUUUGCAAAAUAUGGAAAAAUUAGUGGAAAAACUGACUGGAAUGCUGGUCCUCCAGUCAUUCCACCAACACUAUUCAUUUCAAUUCCCUGAACUUCACACUCUCGAAAACCUUUUGCAAAUGGAUUUGAUUCGAUUUUCAGACUUGUUAUCUGAAAAUGUUAUAUUUAGAAGCUGUAAAUACACAAUAUUUAAAAUCACCCGAUGAUUUUGAUAAGCUGUAACUGCAAUAAAUUCAGUCUCUUCAAAAGAAAAAGUGUGCCGCUUUUGUGAAUCAUCUUGUUCAAUUAUGUGAACUCUUGGACGAUAUUUGUGCAUUGAAUUCACAAUUAUCUAAAACACAAUUUCCAAAAUGUGCUAGACAAACUGUGUGUGACUUACAUGUCCAUUGUUAUCCAGCUGAUUGUUUGUUAGCUUCAUUUUAUCAAAACUAACAGGAGCCCGCAUCCAAUGAGCACCACGAGCUGGGGAGUCCGUGUGAACAAACAUUCUGCUCGGGAGUUCACUUUCCCCUGAAUUUUAACAAUUGGUAUAUGAAAGUUCUCAAAUUUUUUAAAAUUGCGAAUUCAGUGGGGAAACUGUUUAAAACCACUUAUACGGUGUUCAGUAGUUUAAUUACAGUCAAAAAUGUUUCAACUAUACAAAUUUUGGAAAAAAAACCAAAAUUGUGUUAUACGAAUUUUAUACUUUUUUGCAAACAUUUUACGAGGGUUCCUUUUCAAUGAAACAAUUGGCUAGUUAAAAAUCAAAUAUUUCCCAACUAACUUCACUCAAAAACAACCAACCUGGACCGGUAGAAAUCCAUUUGCUUUGAUGAAAUGAAUAUCGAAAACGUUUCAUUUCAAUACACUCCAAAUCUACCAUAACUACAUAACUCUUCACGGGAUCAAGACCAGCGAUGAUGACUGAUAAGGUAGGAAACAUUCUUCUAAACACUGUCAUGUAGAGAACAUUUCUGGUCAAUAUUUUGAACUAAAUCAGCCGUAAAAACGUUCUAUAUUAAACUUUUUUGUAUUCUAUUUUUCAGUUCAGAAAAUAUUAAUCUACUCCUUUUUUUAAUUAUCUGGUAAAGGAAAUACUUCUGAUCUAUCAACGGCCAACGUUGAGAAAUGUGGUGAAAGACUAUUUGGGUAAAAACUGAAAAUGUAGAUGAGAAACUUCAAGUGAGGAUGCUAUUUUGGAUUUAAAAAUUACAAAUCUUAGAACUUUGAAUUUGUAGCCAUGAAUCUUAUACCAAGGCAGUAUUAAAGAGUGACUAAUAAAAAGAUAAAAAUCUCGCAGUUAAGUUUAAUACUUUCCACUAACCUUCCACUUUUAGUAACAAUCAUCUCUGUGCCAAGAUUAUGAAAACGACGCCAUAAAUUACUUGAUUGUAGGAAAACUCGAAUAAACUUACAAUUAUCCUUAGUGAUUAUUUGCUUUCUCUUUUCAACUGGUUUUCUAGCCAAAAUAGCAUCGAUCGAAAAGUUUCGAUUCAUUUUUGGAUGUUAUAGAAGCAAAAAAUAUAUUUAAAAAUGAAGUGGCUGUGAGAAAGAAGACGAGUGUGAAUACUUCUGAAUGGUGAGAGGUCUCGUCGACACGGACUUGGUGAUUUCCAUAUGUUCGGUGUUUUUCAAUCAGAGCUCGAAAACUUUCCCUCCACCUCCUCCUACAUCUGGCACCCGCAGUUUGUCGUCGUUGUCAUCCACACUCGUUUCUACCGUAAUCCGUCAAUUUGCCAUUUCAUUCUCGUCAUCCACAAACACGUGGCGGUGAAUGUGAGGAAGAUGAAGAAGCCGUGUGCAAUUUGAGUGUGUUUUACGAUCAUUUUAUUCGAUUUGAUUGGAGUGGGUCUGAUGAGGGCGAGAUAUGUAAGAACUUCUGUGAUAUUUGUAGAAAUUAUGAAAAAAUUAUAUUUAGAUUAAUUGUACAUCAGGGAUUCAAAAUUUUUUUUCUUGAUUCCUGGAAAGUUUCACUAAUAAUAAAAAAUUUAAAAUUGAAAUACUGUUUGAAAUAAUUGAAUAGAGUUUGAUUACAAAAACAGUUUCCGGCUAAUUUUGAUCGAUUCUCAGAAAUUGUCUGAUAUAAUUUUAAAAACUCAAUUCUUUUCAGACACAGAAAUCCCUGAGUUUUUUCAUUUCCUAGUUUUGAAAAUUGCAUAUUGAGAAACAUUUUUCACUUUACUUGAUUUAUCUUGGACUGUUCCGAAAUUCUGAAAUAUUUGAAUUCCUUAAUGUUCAUCUAGCCCGAGUUAUAUAAUAAAAUUCAAAACUCUCUGCAUACUUCUAUUUGGCCAGAAAAACAUUGACGAAGUUCCUGAAUAUCGUUCAAUUUGAUAAGAAGUUUGGAAAAAAUGUCCCUUGAAUGUAUCAGUCAAUUUGAGAUAGCUUUCCAUUGCAGUUUGUUCAAAAUCAAAAUGCUCACAAAUUUAUCAUUAAAAAAAAUCAACAACUGUUGAAUUUAUUCCUUGGCAGUUCCAAUGACAAUUCCUCCACGUCCACGACCACCUCCGCUGUAUCCACCACGGCAACGAUGUCCAGAAACGGCGGCAAUUGAGAGAACGGCGAAAAUGAAGAUGUUGUAGAAGUUCAUACUGAAGUUUUCAGUUUUUUUUAGAAGACUUGAAAGUGAGACUGCUUACGUUGACUCGGUUGACUGAAUCGUGACUUUUCAGGUUUGCGGAGAAGUUUUUAUAGUAGCCAUAGUGAGGUAAAGAUCACCCCGCAAAAAAGAAAUCAAACUCCGAAACUAUAAACUUCUGAUCUUUUCGUUUCUUUGCAAUCUUUGCAACUUGCAAUUUGCAUCCAAAGAUCUUUUACGCACAAAAUACAUUCAAAACUCCGGUAUAAAACCGACACCGAAACCUUUGAAAAUCAUCAACUUUCCUUUCAGUUUUGAAAGCUGCUCCUGAAAAGG